UUAGGUUGGUGCAAAAGUAAUUGCGGUUUUUGCCAUUGAAAGUAAUGGCAAAAACCGCAAUUACUUUUGUAGCAGCCUAAUAAA
rnacentral:miRNA from 1 species